rnacentral:rRNA from 1 species
GACGAACGCUGGCGGCGUGCUUAACACAUGCAAGUCGUGCGGUAAGGCCCUUUCGGGGGUACACGAGCGGCGAACGGGUGAGUAACACGUGAGCAACCUGCCCUUCACUUUGGGAUAACUGCCGGAAACGGUGGCUAAUACCGGAUAUGACUUCCUCACGCCUGUGGGGUGGUGGAAAGCCUUCGGGUGGUGGGGGAUGGGCUCGCGGUCUAUCAGCUUGUUGGUGGGGUGAUGGCCUACCAAGGCUUCGACGGGUAGCCGGCCUGAGAGGGUGACCGGCCACACUGGGACUGAGACACGGCCCAGACUCCUACGGGAGGCAGCAGUGGGGAAUAUUGGACAAUGGGCGAAAGCCUGAUCCAGCAACGCCGCGUGAGGGAUGACGGCCUUCGGGUUGUAAACCUCUUUCGCCUGCGACGAAGCGAGAGUGACGGUAGCAGGUAAAGAAGCACCGGCCAACUACGUG